GUUGCCUGUGAAAUGAAUCUGAGUUCUCUCUUGACCCCAUCCCUCCCCCACGGACAACCCCGCCUAACCUCCCAUGUAGCAAGCCAAGAGCAAUUUAAAGGGGGUACAGCCCCUUUAAAAAAGAGAACAGCCUCCUAUAGAGGAUAACUAAAUACUCACCAACCAUCCAAACUGUAGGCCCUUAAGCAGCCACCAACAAAGAGUGCGUCAAAGCUCCUGACCUAAAAAUAUAAAAACAACACGACUCCCUCAUCCACAACAGGCUAACCUAUAUAAAUAGGAGCACCAAUGCUAAAAUGAGUAACUAGGGGCCCCUCCCCCUCUUAAGCGCAAACUUACACUUCACAUUAUUAACGGACCACAAUCAAUACUACAAACACACAAGAUCUCAUAUUUUCUCUCCCGUUAACCCAACCCAGGAGCGCCCAACUAGAAAGAUUAAAAUCUGUAAAAGGAACUAGGCAAACCCAGGACCCGACUGUUUACCAAAAACAUAGCCUUCAGCAAACCAAGUAUUGGAGGUGAAGCCUGCCCAGUGACACCAUGUUCAACGGCCGCGGUAUCCUA
rnacentral:rRNA from 1 species